AACGAACGCUGGCGGCAUGCCUAACACAUGCAAGUCGAACGAGACUUUCGGGUCUAGUGGCGCACGGGUGCGUAACGCGUGGGAACCUGCCCUUAGGUUCGGAAUAACUCCCCGAAAGGGGUGCUAAUACCGGAUGAUGUCUUCGGACGAAAGAUUUAUCGCCUUUGGAUGGGCCCGCGUUGGAUUAGCUAGUUGGUAGGGUAAAAGCCUACCAAGGCGACGAUCCAUAGCUGGUCUGAGAGGAUGAUCAGCCACACUGGGACUGAGACACGGCCCAGACUCCUACGGGAGGCAGCAGUGGGGAAUCUUGGACAAUGGGCGAAAGCCUGAUCCAGCAAUGCCGCGUGAGUGAUGAAGGCCUUAGGGUUGUAAAGCUCUUUUACCCGGGAUGAUAAUGACAGUACCGGGAGAAUAAGCCCCGGCUAACUCCGUG
rnacentral:rRNA from 1 species